GGGCGAAGGGUGACGGCAUCGGGGAGCAGGGGCCGCGCUCAGGUGGCUCUGGGGCGGGGGCGGCGCUCAACGCGGCUGGCUACUUGCUGGCGCCCUUCCUCGCCUCCAGGAAGAGGAGGAGGAGGUUGCAUUGCAUUGCAGUGUUGCGAGGUGGAGUUUUGCAGCGGAGACGCGCUUGGCUGAGUAGCAGUAGAGGACCGGCUUGGGUGGGGAGGGAGGGGAGAGGCGGAAGAGAGGCGGCGGGGAAGCAGCAGCGACAAGAACAACAAGAAUAUCCAAACUAUCUUCCUUUUCCUCUUCUUCAUCAUCACCAAACCAAAGGCUGGGGGGUACAAAGGCUUAGGAUGCACUUAGACUAGCAAACCUUACACAACAAAACAAAACCGAGUCAAGUCAAUCCCCAAGAGCAUCUAUCUGGAAGGCUGCAUUAGUCCAGAAGGAGAGAAAUGCUUGCGAGAACACCAAGUUGCAUUGCACAGACAGUUUUCCAUUCACGGUUUAACUUCUGGUCAAAGACAGGUUGGCACCAGAAGAUUUCCCCCAAGGGAGGAUCAGCUGGUACUGGAGGCGGCAGAGUCACAGCAAUCUUGUAUGCUUGAAUACAUUUGCGCAGACAGAGGGGGAAAAAUGAGACCAUUUGCAGAUCCUCUGAGACCACUGCAGCCUCUUAGCCCUGUGAGUGAUUUGGGUGUUGCUCUCAGUGUUCCUCCUGUACAGAUCAGCUUUCUAUUCAUGAAACAAGAACCAUAAGGAAAAAUCUUUGAGAGCAUUCCACAUAUACAAGUAGGACUUGCAAUAAAUGGUACAGUAUCUAAUA